rnacentral:misc_RNA from 1 species
GAAGUCAUAAUCCUCGAUUAACAGAUCUGUAGUUAAGUAAAUCAAACAAACUACAGAAAAUCCGCCCGCGAAAACAAAUUCAGAAUUAUAUUUUUUAAACUUCCGAAAAUCCGAAUUUAAAAAAAAAAUCGAAUUUCUGCAACAGAANNNNNNGAAACCAGAGGUGGAAGACGAAGCUAAUGGGCUUGAGCUUCAAAGUUUCGAGCUUCCUAUUCAAGUUUUGAGCUUGGAAAUCAAAAACCCUAAUUGGACCUAAAAGCUA